AUUGAACGCUGGCGGCAGGCUUAACACAUGCAAGUCGAGCGAGGUGAUGGUGCUUGCACUAUCACUUAGCGGCGGACGGGUGAGUAAUGCUUGGGACUCUGCCUAUUAGUGGGGGACAACAUCUCGAAAGGGAUGCUACUACCGCAUACGUCCUACGGGAGAAAGCAGGGGAUCACUUGUGACCUUGCGCUAAUAGAUGAGCCUAAGUCGGAUUAGCUAGUUGGUGGGGUAAAGGCCUACCAAGGCGACGAUCUGUAGCGGGGCUGAGAGGAUGCUCCGCCACACUGGGAUGGGGAUACGGCCCAGACGUCUCCGCGACGACGCAGUCGGGUAUAUUGGACUAUGGGCGGAACCCUGAUCCAGCCAUGCCGCGUGUGUUAAGAAGGCCUUAUGGUUGUAAAGUACCUUAAGCGAGGAGGAGGCUCUUUUGGUUAAUACCCAAGAUGAGUGGACGUUACUCUCAGAAUAAGCACCGGCUAACUCUGUGCCAGCAGCCGCCGUAA
rnacentral:rRNA from 1 species